rnacentral:rRNA from 1 species
GACGGAGGGUGCAAGCGUUGUUCGGAUUGACUGGGCGUAAAGGGCGUGUAGGCGGUCGGCCAAGUCUGAUGUGAAAGCCCGAGGCUCAGCCUCGGAAGUGCGUCGGAAACUAGUCGGCUGGAGCGCGAUAGAGGAGGGUGGAAUUCCUGGUGUAGCGGUGAAAUGCGUAGAUAUCAGGAGGAACACCGGCGGCGAAGGCGGCCCUCUGGAUCGUUGCUGACGCUGAGACGCGAAAGCGUGAGGAGCAAACAGG